UGGUAGGUGCUUUCCUCAAUCACUUUCCCCC
rnacentral:piRNA from 1 species